GACGUAGGGUCCAAGCGUUGUCCGGAUUUACUGGGCGUAAAGCGUGCGCAGGCGGUGAUGUAAGACCGAUGUGAAAUCCCCGGGCUUAACCUGGGAACUGCAUUGGUGACUGCAUUGCUGGAGUAUGGCAGAGGGGGGUGGAAUUCCACGUGUAGCAGUGAAAUGCGUAGAGAUGUGGAGGAACACCGAUGGCGAAGGCAGCCCCCUGGGCCAAUACUGACGCUCAUGCACGAAAGCGUGGGGAGCAAACAGG
rnacentral:rRNA from 1 species